AGCACUAGCGUUAACGCAGCGGCGCCAGCGUUAGCAUUAGGGUUAGUGCGGCAGCGUUAGGGUUAAACUCUCUGCGUACCGUCUUUCGUUGUAAAUAUCUCGUGUUUCAAUGUCAGUUUCAAUGUGGUCACUUGCGGCUUUUACACAGCUGUGGUUUAUGUAUGUACCAAAUGGUAUUUCCUUUACAAAUGUACUGGGUGAGGCUUAUAAUCAGGUGCACUCUGUAGGCCGGGAAUUACGGUACAUUUUAUUUAGGAAAUGUGGUGGACUAAAGGCGAAAAUUGCCAGAAAUAUAUUUAAAAAAAAAAAAAAAAAAAAAAAAAGCAAAGUACAAGUACGUGAAAAUUGAAGAACAGUAAUAAAUUACGUGUCCUCUGUUACAUUACUGGACUGAGUUUAUGUUUGGACAUUGCCACAUAGACUUCAAACGGCGCAACAGAUCACAGCGUUUAUCUAAUAACACCUCCGUGUGUAAACGCGCGUUAUUGGAUCAUCCGCUGCUGCGAGGGAAGAGAAACAAAAGCGGCCGGAAAAGUGUCCUCUCCGUAAAAUGAAUGACUAUUUUCGCAAACAAGGCCGCUCGUAGACCUGCCAUUGUAAACGCUCAAAUUACAGUGGGGCUCUUUGUGCGCCCCUCCCGUAAUGACGGCCCCUAAUGCAGUAAUGUCCCUCUGCAGUUAUCUGUCACUUCAAGCGAGCUGGGAGCGGGAAUCUAGAAGGAUUCGUUCCACACGGACGCACUAUGUCGCAAACUAACUGCUCACGACGGCCGCGCACCUUUCACUUAACGCUAAACCGAAUAAAACCCAGCGACGCUAAUGACGGAUGAAAGCCAGAACGGACUGCGAGCUUGGUGCAAAUUGGCGCCUCGGAGGAGGAUUAGCGUGGAUGCUAACAUACAGCAACAGCAGCUCAUUUGAAGGCGUCAAAGAAAAGUUCCAAAGCGACAAACAACUUGCGAGCGGCAACCUGGAAAGAGAUGACUUAGAUGCCAAGCCGGCAGCUACAAUCCUUCCGAGCGAAAGCAGAAUCAACGCUGCGGAGAUUAGCGUGAACGCCAGCGGAGGAGCGGCUUCCGAAGCAGAUAAAAAUAACAACAGCAACGAAGGAAGCGCUAGCAUGCUGCUAACGUAUAACCGAUGCUGGAUGCUGAUUGCCGAACAAAAAAUGAUCAGCUACGCCGGGAAGCCCUAAAAUAGCCAUGAUUGGUCAUUAUUCCCCCCCAAAAGCCGGCACGCUGACUGCUGCUAAAAAAAGACAAAAUAAAACAUCUCAAUCUGGUUUUUGAUGCGCACACGUCGACUUGUGACUCACACUGGCUACACGCCGCAGGCCGAGCUCGCACGUGACCCCGAAUGCGCCGUUGCGAACGAGCGCUCUGAAGAUGAAUGGGUGGUGGAGGUGGGAGGGGGGGGGGGUCGUGGGGUGGUUUGACGCACAUUUGGCCGAGCCGCCGGUUACUCCGGCAAUUAAAGAUCAAGCCGGCGAGAUGGCCACGACCGACCAACGUGACGUCUCCUGUGCGACGCUUCAAAGAGAGUCUGCAGAAUAUGACAAUAUGCCAUAAUGGAGACAACAGCGAUUAUUCAAGUGAUGCGCGGUUUUCAUCCUCGGCGUCCUUGCCAGGCUGCCAGUAACACGCGGCCACGUAAUGAACGCCAUCCAUCAGCACCACGGACAGCAGCACGUGCUCAACGCCAGAACCUUCAGCACCACGGACAGUGACAGAAAUCACUGCCGCUGGCUCUGUUCAACACAGUGAUGGAGGGACCGUUGGGCAGCUCUCCCGCCGCAGGAAUGGCCAGGCGAGGCGGCGAGGAAAUGUGCCGAGCCGCGCUCCACUUCGCUGGAUGCUCGAAGAGAGGCGGCGGAACGGAGGGAAGGAUUUUUUUUUUCUUCCUCCCUCUCUUUCUCCCACUCUCGUUAGGUCCUCCUCUUGACGUCUCUUCUGUGGCUGCCUUGUAAAGCGUGACUCUCUCUCACUCGCUCACUCUGUUGCUGGCUUUCUCUCUCGACGGCAGAGGGAGGAGGAGGAGGAGAAAAUCUGCAGGAGUUGAGCGAAAAAGCUGCACUGUGGAUCUCCCGGCUCGGCUCACCUGAACUAACCUCGAGGGAAUUCGUGACAAAAAAAAAAAAAAAAAAAGGACUCGGACGGCGGGGUCGGUCGCCUCACACUUGUUGCUGGGGAGAUGUCACGGGGCUCCGGCGUAACUGCCCCAUUGCCGAUCCGAAAUAAAUGGAAAUAAAAUGGCGGCACGGUGGAUCAGCUGGUAAAGCGUUGGCCUCACAGUUCUGAGGUGCCGGGUUCAAUCCCGGACCAAGCUGUGUGGAGUUUGCAUGUUCUCCCCGUGCCUGCCUGGGUUUCUUCCCACAUUCCAAAAACAUGCAACAGUAAUUGGAUGCUUUAAAUUGCCCAUAGGUGUGAUUGCGAGUGCGCCUGUUUGUCUCUGUGUGCCCUGCGAUUGGCUGGCGACCAGUUCAGGGUGUACCCUGCCUCCUACGCAUUGACAGGUGUAAUAGGACUCCCCGCGACGCUCGUGAGGAUAAGCGGUGAAGAAAAUGAUGGAUAAAAACAAAAUCACAAAACUAUAAAGGCGCACAUAUAAAUCCACCAAAA